UUGUUAAGUCAGAUGUGAAAUCCCCGGGCUCAACCUGGGAACUGCAUUUGAAACUGGCAGCUAGAGUCUCGUAAAGAGGGGUAGAAUUCCAGGUGUAGCGGUGAAAUGCGUAGAGAUCUGGAGGAAUCCGGUGGCGAAGGGGGCCCCCUGGACGAAGACUGACGCUCAGUGCGAAAGCGUGAAAAGCAAUCAGGAUUAGAUACCCUGGUAAUAACGCUGUAAACGAUAUCGAUUUGGAGGUUGUGACCUUAAGCGUGACUUCCGGUGCUAACGCGUUAAUCGACCGACUGGAGAGGACGGCCGCAAGGAUCAACUAAAUGAAUUGAAGGGGGAAGGCACAUGCGGUGAAGAAUGUGAAUUAAUGCGUUGAACGAGAAGUUGCUUACUGCUCUU
rnacentral:rRNA from 1 species